rnacentral:rRNA from 1 species
GUCGAGGGGUAUAGCACUUCGGUGCUAGAGACCGGCGCACGGGUGCGUAACGCGUAUGCAAUCUACCUUUUACAGGGGGAUAGCCCAGAGAAAUUUGGAUUAAUACCCCAUAGUAUAUAUGAAUGGCAUCAUUUAUAUAUUAAAGUCACAACGGUAAAAGAUGAGCAUGCGUCCCAUUAGCUAGAUGGUAAGGUAACGGCUUACCAUGGCUACGAUGGGUAGGGGUCCUGAGAGGGAGAUCCCCCACACUGGUACUGAGACACGGACCAGACUCCUACGGGAGGCAGCAGUGAGGAAUAUUGGACAAUGGGCGCAAGCCUGAUCCAGCCAUGCCGCGUGCAGGAUGACGGUCCUAUGGAUUGUAAACUGCUUUUAUACGAGAAGAAACACUGAUUCGUGAAUCAGCUUGACGGUAUCGUAAGAAUAAGGAUCGGCUAACUCCGUGCCAGCAGCCGCGGUAAUACGGAGGAUCCAAGCGUUAUCCGGAAUCAUUGGGUUUAAAGGGUCCGUAGGCGGUCUAGUAAGUCAGUGGUGAAAGCCCAUCGCUCAACGGUGGAACGGCCAUUGAUACUGCUGGACUUGAAUUAUUAGGAAGUAACUAGAAUAUGUAGUGUAGCCGGUGAAAUGCUUAAGAGAUUACAUGGGAAUACCAAUUUGCGAAAGGCAGGGUUACUACUAAAUGGAUUUGACGCUUAAUUGGACGAAAAGCGUGGGGUAGCCGAACAAGGAUUAAGAUACCCCUGGGUAGUCCCACGCCCGUAAAACGAUUGGAUAACUAAGCUUGUUUGGGGGGCCAACUUUCCAGUGGGCUAAAACCGAAAAGUUGAUAAAGUAAUCCCCACCCUUGGGGGGAAGUAACCGAAACCGCCAAAGUUUUUGAAAACUUCAAAAAGGGAAAUUUUGACCGGGGG